AGGUAAAUUCUACGUUUUGAAGGAUUUGUAAGAAAUGUUUGAGGGAACUCAAUCAUUUCUUACAAAUCCUUCAAAACAUAGAAUUUA